rnacentral:rRNA from 1 species
AUACAACGAAGAGUUUGAUCCUGGCUCAGGAUGAACGCUAGCGAUAGGCCUAACACAUGCAAGUCGAGGGGCAUCACAUGAAGUAGCAAUACGGAUGGUGGCGACCGGCGCACGGGUGAGUAACACGUAUGCAACCUGCCUUCAACAAGGGGAUAACCCGUUGAAAGACGGACUAAUACCCUAUAACACAGGGGUCCCGCAUGGGAAUAUUUGUUAAAGGACAACCGGUUGAAGAUGGGCAUG